GCCCGCUUGGCGAAAUUGGUAGACGCAACGGACUUAAAAUCCGUUUUCUGGAAACGGGAGUGCUGGUUCGAGUCCGGCAGCGGGCACCA
rnacentral:tRNA from 1 species